GGAUGUGAGGGCGAUCUGGCUGAGACAUCUGUCACCCCAUUGAUGGCCAGGAUUGAUUUGGCUGAUCUGGCUGGCUAGGCGGGUGUCCCCUUCCUCCCUCAUCGCUCCAUGUGUGUCCCUCUGGAAGCUGCACGCUCAGUUGAAGAGGACGGCAUUCCUGGACGACCUUCCCGGAAUAGAGAUGGACUGGUCUUUGGUUGAGGGUAUAGGAGUAACUGUGCUUCUCUACUAGAAUCUCAAAACAAGCUCUCUAUCCAAUAAAUGAAUAAAGAUAAUAAAGAAAAAAAUAUAAAAAUCUGAUAAGCUUGUAGUCAAACUAUUGAACUAUUAUU
ensembl:misc_RNA 7SK 7SK RNA